GUGAGGAAUAUUGGUCAAUGGACGUAAGUCUGAACCAGCCAAGUAGCGUGCAGGAUGAAGGCCCUCCGGGUCGUAAACUGCUUUUGGGUGAGGGUAAAAGGCGGGACGUGUCCUGCGUAUUGCAAGUAUCACCCGAAUAAGGACCGGCUAAUUCCGUGCCAGCAGCCGCGGUAAUACGGAAGGUCCGGGCGUUAUCCGGAUUUAUUGGGUUUAAAGGGAGCGCAGGCGGUUCUUCAAGUCAGCUGUGAAAACGCGGGGCUCAACCUCGCGCCUGCAGUUGAUACUGUUGAACUUGAGUGCACACAGGGAUGUUGGAAUUCAUGGUGUAGCGGUGAAAUGCUUAGAUAUCAUGAAGAACUCCGAUCGCGAAGGCAUAUGUCCGGUGUGUUACUGACGCUGAGGCUCGAAAGCGCGGGUAUCGAACAGGAUUAGAAACCCUAGUAGUCC
rnacentral:rRNA from 1 species